UAUUUAGUUAUAUUCUUAAUUAGUAGAUUCUUAAUGUGCGUUCUAGUUAACACUAGCAAGUGCACUAGUCAUUUCCAAGUAAUAUAAUGAUGAGAAAGAGUAUCAUCCCACAAGGAUCAAAAUUGUUAAUCGUAAUUAAGCUAAUACUACCCUAAUGUUAUUUGAGAAAUUGAUAAUUGAAUUUAACUAAACUAAACUAAUAAUAACAAUAAAAAAUAAAAGCAAGCAAGUAAAUCAAUAAAAGAAACUUAUUAUGACAAAAGUGCUAGGGUCAGAUUUCACCUUCACCUAUAUAUGACAACCAAUCCAAUGGAAG
rnacentral:misc_RNA from 1 species